GACGAACGCUGGCGGCGUGCUUAACACAUGCAAGUCGAACGGUAAGGCCUUCGGGUACACGAGUGGCGAACGGGUGAGUAACACGUGGGUGAUCUGCCCUGCACUUUGGGAUAAGCCUGGGAAACUGGGUCUAAUACCGAAUAGGAUCAUGGCCUUCAUGGGUUGUGGUGGAAAGCUUUUGCGGUGUGGGAUGGGCCCGCGGCCUAUCAGCUUGUUGGUGGGGUAAUGGCCUACCAAGGCGACGACGGGUAGCCGGCCUGAGAGGGUGUCCGGCCACACUGGGACUGAGAUACGGCCCAGACUCCUACGGGAGGCAGCAGUGGGGAAUAUUGCACAAUGGGCGCAAGCCUGAUGCAGCGACGCCGCGUGGGGGAUGACGGCCUUCGGGUUGUAAACCUCUUUCAGUAGGGACGAAGCGCAAGUGACGGUACCUACAGAAGAAGCACCGGCCAACUACGUGCCAGCCGCCGCAGUAA
rnacentral:rRNA from 1 species